rnacentral:lncRNA from 1 species
ACAGUAAUCACAAAUACUAAUAUAGUAUUAUAAUAUUUUGAUACCAUGGUGUUAUUAUUUUAGUGAUACUAUAGUAAUAGUAAUUACUGACACCACUUACAAGUGUCACUAUUUUUCUGACUCCCAGAUUACUGACACAAUUAACAAGUGUCAGUAAAAGUAAUUUCUGACACUAUUUUAAAGUCAGUAAAGACCAUUUUUCUAGUAGUG